UACACAUGCAGUCGACGGUGAAACAGCGACAAGUCAGCUUGCUGAUUUGCUGACGAGUGGCGGACGGGUGAGUAAUGUCUGGGAAACUGCCUGAUGGAGGGGGAUAACUACUGGAAACGGUAGCUAAUACCGCAUAACGUCGCAAGACCAAAGAGGGGGACCUUCGGGCCUCUUGCCAUCGGAUGUGCCCAGAUGGGAUUAGCUAGUAGGUGGGGUAACGGCUCACCUAGGCGACGAUCCCUAGCUGGUCUGAGAGGAUGACCAGCCACACUGGAACUGAGACACGGUCCAGACUCCUACGGGAGGCAGCAGUGGGGAAUAUUGCACAAUGGGCGCAAGCCUGAUGCAGCCAUGCCGCGUGUAUGAAGAAGGCCUUCGGGUUGUAAAGUACUUUCAGCGGGGAGGAAGGGAGUAAAGUUAAUACCUUUGCUCAUUGACGUUACCCGCAGAAGAAGCACCGGCUAACUCCGUGCCAGCAGCCGCGGUAAUACGGAGGGUGCAAGCGUUAAUCGGAAUUACUGGGCGUAAGCGCACGCAGGCGGUUUGUUAAGUCAGAUGUGA
rnacentral:rRNA from 1 species